AGAGUUUGAUCAUGGCUCAGGAUGAACGCUAGCGGGAGGCUUAACACAUGCAAGUCGAGGGGCAGCAUAGGGUAGCAAUACUCUGAUGGCGACCGGCAAACGGGUGAGUAACGCGUAUGUAACCUACCCUGUACAGGGGGAUAACCCGGAGAAAUUCGGACUAAUAUCCCAUAACAAUAUCCGGGGGCAUCUUUGGAUAUUUAAAGUUCCGGCGGUACGGGAUGGGCAUGCGUAACAUUAGCUAGUUGGUAAGGUAACGGCUUACCAAGGCUUUGAUGUUUAGGGGUCCUGAGAGGGUGGUCCCCCACACUGGUACUGAGACACGGACCAGACUCCUACGGGAGGCAGCAGUGAGGAAUAUUGGUCAAUGGGCGCAAGCCUGAUUUUUGCCAUCCCGCGCGCAGGAAGACGGCGCUAUGCGUUGUAAACUGCUUUUCCAGGGAGAGAAACUUGCGCACGUGUUGCGCAAUUGACGGUACCCUGGGAAUAAGCAUCGGCUAACUCCGUGCCAGCAGCCGCGGUAAUACGGAGGAUGCGAGCGUUAUCCGGAUUCAUUGGGUUUAAAGGGUGCGUAGGCGGACUAUUAAGUCAGUGGUGAAAUCCUGCAGCUUAACUGCAGAACUGCCAUUGAUACUGAUAGCCUUGAGUUUGGUUAAGGUAGGCGGAAUGUGUAAUGUAGCGGUGAAAUGCUUAGAUAUUACACAGAACACCAAUUGCGUAGGCAGCUUACUGAGCCGACACUGACGCUGAGGCACGAAAGCGUGGGGAUCGAACAGGAUUAGAUACCCUGGUAGUCCACGCCGUAAACGAUGAUUACUCGCUGUUGGCGAUACACUGUCAGCGGCUAAGCAAAAGCAAUAAGUAAUCCACCUGGGGAGUACGGCCGCAAGGUUGAAACUCAAAGGAAUUGACGG
rnacentral:rRNA from 1 species